GGAGUUAGCCGGUGCUUCUUCUGUGAGUGAUGUCCUUCCUGCCGGCUAUUAACCCGCAGGCCUUCUUCCUCACUGAAAGUGCUUUACAACCCUAAGGCCUUCUUCACACACGCGGCAUGGCUGGAUCAGGGUUGCCCCCAUUGUCCAAUAUUCCCCACUGCUGCCUCCCGUAGGAGUCUGGGCCGUGUCUCAGUCCCAGUGUGGCUGAUCAUCCUCUCAGACCAGCUACGGAUCGUCGCCUUGGUGAGCCGUUACCUCACCAACCAGCUAAUCCGACAUAGGCUCAUCCGAUAGCGCGAGGCCCGAAGGUCCCCCGCUUUCCCCCGUAGGGCGUAUGCGGUAUUAGCCUGGGUUUCCCCAGGUUAUCCCCCACUACCGGGCAGAUUCCUAUGCAUUACUCACCCGUCCGCCGCUCGCCACCAGGGAGCAAGCUCCCCGUGCUGCCGCUCGACUUGCAUGUGUUAGGCCUGCCGCCAGCGUUCAAUCUGAGCCAGGAAUCAAACCUCGUACGACGUAGACGGCGGUCGUCGGACGACGGCGCUAG
rnacentral:rRNA from 1 species